GCCAAGACAACUUCUAUGACCAAGUACUUAAUAAUUCAUACAAGAGAACCAAGAGAAGGCCAGUUUCACUUUCAGAUAACAAACACAACUUAAACCCAAGAAUAUACACAUAUGUCGACCAUUAUAUGAGAUUUCCAGAGUAUCGGCAUUGGUCAGUUUUAGGCUGCUUCUGCAAAGCCAACUCUUGAUUUUCCAUAGUCGAACACGGUGUGGUAGACUCCCAUGAAGACAUCUCCCAGUAUCCAUAGAGGACCACGUGGAGGAGCUACAUCCAAGGCUGUGAAUCCACUGAUACACUGUGCUGCAACGCCCUCGCCAAUUUUCAGAAUGUACUGCUCUGGUGUUAGGUCAAAUGUUUUACCACCAAUCGUAAAAGAUACACUGGGCAUUGAGGAAAGUGCAUUGCAGUCAACGGUUGAUUGUCCAUUGGGACUAGGCAGGCGAUCACAUAGCUCGUCGACAUAGUUCAUUAUUCGUUCCUGAGUCUGAUUCAGUGCAACCUGAUUCUGCAUCCAUACUACAGCCAUUUCACAAGCAACGCACAUACCGGUACUCCUACCAAUAGUUGAUUUGUCCUCAUUGUCAUCCACCACACUCUUUAUGCCAACACUAACUCCUCGAGAUCCAUCGAAUGUACACAGACCAGCCUGAGAACAAACUUUUGCCGGUUCUACCUGUGCCAACAACAUUGCAAGAAUCUUUUCUCCGUAUUGUGCAACUACUGCUUUGCACUGAUGGUUAACAACACCAGAACCUCCAAUUUUUUUAUUAAUUUCUGCUAUAAUGGUCGUUGGACCAGCAAUCAAAGACGUUCCAGAAUCUGCAAUGGCUGCACAACCUUUAGCGCAGAAUCCAGUUGUUUGGCCAUCGACAAGAACAUCUCCCAUAUUAAACUGCCAGUAACCUUUCUGAGUUACAGGGACAAAUGUGUGUUCACCCUUGAAGUGAUUUGGAUCAGCCCCUCCAAACA
rnacentral:misc_RNA from 1 species